UAGUAACGGCGAGUGAAGCGGCAACAGCUCAAAUUUGAAAUCCGGCUUCGGCCCGAGUUGUAAUUNGUAGAGGAAGCUUGUGGUGCGGCACCUCACAAGUCCCCUAGAACGGGGCNCCAUAGAGGGUGAGAGCCCCGUAUCGUAGGACGCCAAUCCUCUGUAAAGCUCGUUCCAAGAGUUGAGUAGUUGAGGAAUGCUGCUUUAAAUGGGAGGUAAAUUUCUUCUAAAGUUAUAUAUUGGCCAGAGUCCUAUAGCGCACAAGUAGAGUGAUGGAAAGAUGAAAAGCACUAUGAAAAGAGGGUUAAACAGCACGUGAAAUUGUUGAAAGGGAAGCGCUUGUGCCCAGACUUGCGCCGGGUUGAUCAUCCGGAGUUCUCUCCGGUGCACUCUGCCCGGCUCAGACAGCAUCGGUUCUCGCAGGGGGAUAAAGGCCCUGGGAACGUAGCUCCUCCGGGAGUGUUAUAGCUCAGGGUGCAAUGCCCUCGCGGGGACCGAGGAUCGCGCUUAGCAAGGAAAUAGGCUAAUGGUCUCCAGCGACC
rnacentral:rRNA from 1 species